UGACUCAAGUGCAUGAGCUGUUGUGCCUGAACUUUGGGACUCUGUUUUGGCAACCCAAAGGCCUGUUUGCUUACCGCUUAAGUCCUCAGAUGGUUCCUGAUAAAACUGGUCACAAGAGGACAGAUUUAUCAUAGGUGAAGUAUUGCUACAGUAGGAAGGCAAACAAAGUGACUGUAAGACCAUCUUCUUCAAGUUAUCCAGAGAAAGUGUGUGCAGAGAAUAUGACACUCACCUUUCUGUUAUUGGCAUUAGGGCUUGAUAAUUAUCGAAAGCACAUUAAGUUUGAGAAAGUUUCUCAGACCCUUCUCAAUGCCUUCAAGUAGAUAUGUUUUAAGGGACAGCAAAUUGAUUCGAUAUUACUUUAUUAGCAAGACGAAUUUUAUGAUUCCCCCCCAAAUAUUCCAAGCCAAAUAUAUAGACUUUAUAAAUUCUGGCUACUGUCUUUUUUUCUUCGUUACAGAUAGUCAAAAGUUACUAUAGUUGAUUUUUCUUAAGGGGUUAAGUUAUAACAAGAUGUCUGUGAAUGACCUGAAUGUGUGGUUUGAGUUCAUUUUGGACCCUGUCAACCAAUCAUGUGUCAUUCAUAUCUGGCAAAGCAAGAAGUUUAUCAGAGCAAGUCUUUAUUAUGUUUCCUAUGAGACUGUAUUAAUUUUAAAUCUCUCUAGAGAAUUUGACUCACUUCUUAAGGAGAUUUAGGUUGAAAAUGAUUAUACAGCCACGAAAUGCACUCUGACUAUGUUACGAUGUAUUUCACUUAAAAAACAAUGAGUAACAAGAGUAUUUAAAUUUUUUUUUUCCUUUUCUCUUCUUUUGCUUUUCUUUUUGUUUCCAAGAGUGCUUUCUGAAACAAUCAAAAAUCAUGUGACACAACUUGCCUCAGCCACACCCUUAAUAUUUUGUUAACACAGGAACUGAGCUGCCAUUCCAUUUUUUAAAUAUUUGUGCUUAAUAACUGGAUUCAAGUAGUUAUCCUCCCUCUAAUGUGGCUGCUUGGACAAUUUGUUGAUUUGCCCUUAGCAGCAGCUGCUAAUAUUUAACUGUAAUUUUAGGCUAAAUAUUCUCUCCGUUUAAAAGUUACACAGGCUUAUUGGACAGAAUUUAGAAAAUAUACAAAAGUAUAAAAACAUAUGUUUCCACAGUCUGCACUCCUAGAGAUAAUCAAAGUUUUAAAUAUGUACAUGUCUUUAUACAUACAUCUUCACACAUGUUUUAAAACAUUUAAUGUUUUAAAAUACAAGUGCUUCCAUACACAGGAUUUUAAUUUGUACUUUUUUAAUAUUAGAAAAUGCAAAUAUUUAUAAAUCAUUGAGACAUAAUUGAAAUUGUGAUAAAAAAGUAAUACAGAAAAAUUUAAACUCUUUAACUUUGAAAUGAACACAAGAAUUUCACGCAGUGCUAUAGAUGCAGGAAAACUUAAGGAAGAUGCUUUAACCACAAGAUGGAUCCCAAGGUUUUAGACCCCUUUCCAUAGAUUCCAAAUCGUAAAAUACCAAUGCAUUUUUAAAAAGGGUCAAGAAAAACAGAAGGAAAGUAAAUGUCAAUCCAAAACUAUGUUCAGGGCUUCCCUGUUGGCGCAGUGGUUAGGAAUCCGCCUGCCAAUGCAUGGGACACAGGUUUGAACCCUGGCCCAGGAAGAUCCUGCAAGCCCCGGAGUAACUAAGCCCAUGCGCUACAACUACUGAGCCUGCACUCUAGAGCCCACGAGCCACAACUACUGAAGCCCACGCGCCUAGAGUCCGUGCUCUGCAGCAAGAGAAGCCACCGCAAUGAGAAGCUUGUGCACCGCAACAAAGAGUAGUCCCCGCUUGCUGCAACUAGAGAAAGCCCAUGCGCAGCAACAAAGACCCAACACAGCCAGAUAAAUAAAUAAGUAAAUAAAUAAACUAAUUAAAAAAAUAAAAUAAUGCUUAUUGUCAGAAAAUUAUAGGAGA